AGAAAACAGUUUACUGAGAAUAUACACCGGAGUAUAUUUACUUCUAGAUGGUGCUUGUAUGAAGUUACGAGAUGGCAAAAUCUUUUAUGUAUACAUGCACGCGUUGUCAUCCAUACAUCAUGCAGUUUGCCAUCCAUUCAUGUGACAGUGUUCUCGUGAUAUUCCCGUUUACUAUGGGAAAUUCAAUUGCAGCUGUACAUCGCGGCCGUCGCCGUUGCCUUCACUGAUCUACGUGUAUGUUCAUUGUGUACCGUCGUACAGCGUCAUAAGAGAUGCGCUAUUCGUAUCCAAUGUGGUUCACCGAGGGAACACCAUUCAUUCACCAAUUGGACAUGUGCAGGGUGCGUCGUCGUUGAGGUCAUUGAUGGGCUCACUCUCGUGUCAUAGCAGGUGGAUCUCACUUAAUUUUUCAACCGAUGUCCCUGCAGAUGAUAAGAUAUCAAAGGAUUAUAUCAUGAGCUCGUCUAGCAUUUGGUUCUGCAUGUGCUGAUGCAAAUGAAGAAAGAUGGUACCGCUUAUCUGGUCACGAAGUAGAACGGGCCAACGCUGGUCAACCGCUAUUUUGUUGUCUCACCGGCGGCAGAAAAUUACGAGGGACGACGCCGGGCCGGCCAACCGGCCGGUGACGAAAGAAACUCCGAAGAGAUUGAACAAUUAGAUAGAGAAAAGAGAGACCAGCUUGUUUUGUUAUUGGUAACUAGAAGGUACACAUAAAAGCUUUUUUCACGUAGAGAGACCAGCUAUGUUCGUUAGUAGCCGGAUAAGGAUGACGUACCAUGGAUUCAAAAUAAGGGAUAAGCUCACGAUGGGACCAUCAAUUCUAAACGGAUCCGGUGAAACCUCAUUUAACCCGUUAUAAGUUCUCGAGACAAUCUAGGAUAAAGGUUAUGCUCCAUCCGUGCACAUCAGAUCAACGGUGGAUUCUUAGAUGGUAACUACCAAUAGGUGGUAGAAUCUAUUUUCCAUAUAU
rnacentral:lncRNA from 1 species